rnacentral:rRNA from 1 species
UCCUUAGACGUUCUGGGCCGCACGCGCGCUACACUGACCAGUGCAACAAGCAUCCGUCCUUGGCCGACAGGCCCGGGCAAUCUUUGAACGCUGGUCGUGAUGGGGAUAGACUUUUGCAAUUUUUGGUCUUCAACGAGGAAUUCCUAGUAAACGCAAGUCAUCAACUUGCAUUGAUUACGUCCCUGCCCUUUGUACACACCGCCCGUCGCACCUACCGAUUGAAUGGUCCGGUGAAGCCUCCGGAUUGGCGCGCACCUCGGUGCCGCCGAGAAGUUGGCUAAACCUUACCAUUUAGAGGAAGGUGAANUCGUANCA